rnacentral:rRNA from 1 species
UACGUAGGGUGCAAGCGUUAAUCGGAAUUACUGGGCGUAAAGCGUGCGCAGGCGGUUCUAUAAGACAGAUGUGAAAUCCCCGGGCUCAACCUGGGAACUGCAUUUGUGACUGUAGAGCUGGAGUACGGUAGAGGGGGAUGGAAUUCCGCGUGUAGCAGUGAAAUGCGUAGAUAUGCGGAGGAACACCGAUGGCGAAGGCGGCCCGCUGGGCAGUGGCUGACGCUGAAGCGCGACAGCGUGGGGAGCAAACAGG